rnacentral:misc_RNA from 1 species
GAAAUGCGAUAAGUAGUGUGAAUUGCAGAAUUCAGUGAAUCAUCGAAUCUUUGAACGCACAUUGCGCCCCUUGGUAUUCCAUGUGGCAUGCCUGUUCGAGCGUCAUUUGUACCUUCAAGCUUUGCUUGGUGUUGGGUGUUUGUCUCGCCUCUGCGUGUAGACUCGCCUCAAAACAAUUGGCAGCCGGCGUAUUGAUUUCGGAGCGCAGUACAUCUCGCGCUUUGCACUCAUAACGACGACGUCCAAAAGUACAUUUUUACACUCUUGACCUCGGAUCAGGUAGGGAUACCCGCUGAACUUAAGC